GUGCUGGUAGUGCAACGGGUCAGAGCACGCGCUCCGCGAUAGAGUGAGGCGCGGGUUCGAGUCCCGCUCGACGCA